UUCUUGGUUGCUGUGCAUGUGCUUAAGUGAAAUGAGACUAGGGUUGGACUAUACUUUAAGACAACAGGGCGUGCUGGGUGCGGUGGCUCAUGCCUGUAAUCCCAGGACUUUGGGAGGCUGAGGCGGGCCGAUCGUUUUAGGUCAGGAGUUCGAGACCAGCCUGGCCAACAUGGUGAAACCCUGUCUCCACUAAAAAAAAACCACACACACACAAGAAUCAGCCUGGCACGGUGGCGGGCGCCUUUAAUCCCAGCUACUUGGGAGGCUGAGGCAGGAUAAUCGCUGGAACCUGGGAGGCAGAGGUUGCAGUGAGCUGAGAUUGCCCCACUGCACUCCAGCCUGGGCGACAGAACAAGACUGUCUCAAAAAACAAAACAAAAAACAGGGUGUAUUUUUCUGGUGACCAUUAAAAAAAUUUUUUUAUGGGUACAUAGUAUGUGUAAAUUAGCAGCGUAACCUUUUUAGUAUAUUUUGAGCAUAAUAGCUAAAUUAUUGAGCACUUGCUACAUGCUAGCAGCUUGACUUAGAUGUUUUACAUAGAUAUUUCUCAUUUAAUUCUCACAACAAACCUAUAAAUCAGGUGAGAAAAUGGAGACACAGGUAAUUUACCUAAGGCCACAUUGUUAAAAAAUUGUUAAGAGCUGGGAUCUGAUCCUUGUGUGAUCACCAGUAAAACUGACAGCCUCUGUUCUCCCUAGAUGGUCCCUCUUAAAAUCAAAAUAAACAAUGAAUGCAAAAGCAUUCUGUAAACUGCAAAAUAUAAGGUAACAAUAUCAUAAGGAUUUACACGUUUGCUUUUGGGAAGUUAUUCAUCCAGGCUUAUUUGGGAUCUGUAGUUCCUGAAGGUGCAUGGUUAGUGGGCAAAGGUAUGAAUUAGGGGCCUAUAGCAAGGAGGAACCUGACCCAGCUGGCAGCUCCUUGGCCUGUGAUUCUUCUUCUCCUAGGUACUCAAUGCAGGAGAUGUAUGAGGUGGUGUCCAACGUCCAGGAGUACCGUGAGUUUGUGCCCUGGUGUAAGAAGUCUCUGGUGGUAUCCAGCCGUAAGGGUCAUUUGAAAGCCCAGCUGGAGGUUGGCUUUCCACCUGUCAUGGAACGUUACACCUCUGCAGUUUCCAUGGUCAAACCUCACAUGGUCAAGGCUGUUUGUACUGAUGGCAAGCUCUUCAACCACUUAGAGACUAUUUGGCGAUUCAGCCCUGGUAUUCCUGCCUAUCCUCGAACCUGCACUGUGGACUUUUCGAUUUCCUUUGAAUUUCGUUCUCUGCUGCACUCCCAGCUGGCCACCAUGUUUUUUGAUGAGGUUGUCAAACAGAAUGUUGCUGCCUUUGAGCGUCGGGCAGCCACCAAGUUUGGUCCAGAAACAGCCAUCCCCCGUGAACUGAUGUUCCAUGAGGUGCACCAGACUUGAGGCAAGGGGUUGCUCCCUGACCUCCCUUCUACCCCACUUCCCUACGCAAUUCUCUUAUUUAUUUGGUUUGGCUCCUGUUCCAAUUUGAAAGGAGUCUGUGUUCAUAAUACUGUUUCUCCUCUCAAUUUCCCAGAAAUUGGG
rnacentral:sRNA from 1 species